AGGCAGCAGGGGGAAGGACAAGGGCGAAAGCCGACCAGCAAGCCGCGGGGAAGAAGGCCCGGGGAAUGCACGCCGGAAAGAAAGGCCGGAAACCGGGGCGAGACGGACCGGAAGAAAAGGACCGGC
rnacentral:rRNA from 1 species